rnacentral:rRNA from 1 species
AUACCCUGGUAGUCCAUGCCGUAAACGGUGGGAACUAGGUGUGGGUCUCAUUUCACGAGAUCCGUGCCGCAGCUAACGCAUUAAGUUCCCCGCCUGGGGAGUACGGCCGCAAGGCUAAAACUCAAAGGAAUUGGCGGGGGAGCACCACAACGGCUGGAGCUUGCGGUUUAAUUGGAUUCAACGCCGGAAACCUUACCGGG